rnacentral:misc_RNA from 1 species
UUCCCUUUAUCAAUUCACAUCAAUUCUCAAUCCAAAACACAUCAAAUGACCACAAUUAAGCAUGAUACACAUCAAUUGGUCAACAUUUCACAAAACUCUAAUUCUCACAAAACCCUAAUUUCCCCAACUUCACAAUUCAAGCAAUUCAUGCAAUUUCACUUCACCAAUCACAUAUACAACUUGAUUUAAGUUUAAAUUCAUGUUGAAUUCAAAUAAAUACAAUCAAAUUGUACCCCCUCUAUAGUUGGCCAAAAUUUUUCCCUUAACGUUUAUGCAUGAUUUUCAUCUUUCUUAAGUUAAUUACCCUAUUAACUUUAAUCCGAUACACCAUUAAUUUAGUUUGAAAAUUGACUUACCUCUACUUGACCAAGUUCAAGUCUUCCAAACUCUUUAGCUUCCUUGCCACUUUGGCAAAAAUCAAGAUCCAAGAAUAAGUUUUUAUUAAAGGAGCUAUGAAAUUUGUGGGCUAAAACUAGGGUUUUAGAUGCUUGUUAGGUUCAUCAACGGAGGAAGAUGAAAGAGGUAGAGAGAGAGUGUGUUUCAUCCUAGCAAGGAAGAAGAGAG